UUUCUAAGGAAAAAAGGGAAGCUAGUUUUAUUAUGAUUAUUUAGUUUUGAGUGUUUAUACACUCCUUGUACAUUGAAAAUUGAAUAACAAACACAACGGUUAUUUAAUAAAGAAAAAUAAUCGAGAGCCAGACAUAGAUUUUGAAAAAAAUCAUGUAAAGAGGUAAUAAAAGAAAAAAGUAUUGCUGUCAACUAGAAAGUUGAAAAGAUUUAAACAAUAUAUCUUGUUGCAAAAAAAUGUUUUGUAACAGAGUAA
rnacentral:misc_RNA from 1 species